rnacentral:tRNA from 1 species
GUGUCCGUGGUGUAGCGGUUACUGCACGGCUGGCUGUGAACCAGAGGGUGGGAGUUCGACUCUCCCCGGACACCCCU